GUCAGAUCCCUACCUGGUGUUAAUGGGUAGAAAUGCACUUAAGUCAAUGGAGUUACACUCAUUUUGCACCAGGUGAGGGAGGAUUUUCAAAUUGUAUUGAAAAUAAUAAGUCAGUAAGUAGUGGCGUGGUUUUCAAAGAUCCUGAGCGACUCCUGCUCUUACAGAUGUUCCAGGCCUCUACAGGGGCUGAAAAUAUCUGAAAAUCAGCCCUGAGCUCCAUUUUAUGCACCUUGGGAAGCGGUGGCGCUUUUUGCAUAGCCACGCCUUGUCUCUUGCAUUCUCUCUCUCUCUUUCUUUCCUGUGGAGAGCAACAGUAGCAAGAAAGACCAACCCAAUCCAUGGCCGUUUCAGCAGCUGGUCCAGUGAAACUGUCCCCCAUUGGCUGCUUUCCAGACAUCAGAGGCGCAGUUUGUUUUGCUUUCUCUAAUGGCCUGGUUAACCAGGAACUGACUUCAACCAGGAAACCAGUUGAGAAAAGAAAA